rnacentral:rRNA from 1 species
CUUCCGGUAAGGGGGACCUGCGGAAGGAUCAUUA